UCUGUUGCCAGGGCAACCCGGGGUGGCGGGCCCUGGGUCCCUCUUUUCUUUUUUUUCCGCUUCGCUCUGUGUGCUCGGCUUUCCUCACUCCAGUUGCCAGGAGAAUGCACACACCACGUCAUCGUUCUGCUUCCUCUUCUCUCCUUAGUUGGCUUGUUUCUCCAAGGUCCACACUUCCCAAGCGAGGAGUUUGUACUUCCCUUUCCUGCCGAUGAGCGGCCACAGCUGGAUUCUGAGCCCAACCCGUUUUUUGGAGAGAUUGAUCUGGCACCAGUGGGGGAACAGCCAAAGGCAGGGAGGCCACUUGGGGAGCCCCUAGAGAUAACGGUGGCCCAAAUGAAGACAACGCAGUGGGAAUUGCUGGGGCGGGGAUGCCAGGAAGAGGCAGAGAGAAGCCUAGGGAAUGCAGAGUCUGGGAUGGCUCGUGGUCCUGAGGAGGGACAC